rnacentral:rRNA from 1 species
AGCAGCCGCGGUAAUUCCAGCUCCAAUAGCGUAUAUUAAAGUUGUUGCAGUUAAAAAGCUCGUAGUUGAAUUUCGGGAUCAAUUUGUUGGUCGUGCCUCGGUACGUACUGGCAUUAUUGGUUUCUACCUCCUGAAGAACCUUGAUGUCAUUAAUUUGGUGUCUUGGGGAAUCAGGACUGUUACUUUGAAAAAUUAGAGUGUUUAAAGCAGGCAUACGCUUGAAUACAUUAGCAUGGAAUAAUGAAAUAGGACGUUUGAUUCUAUUUUGUUGGUUUCUAGGAUCGACGUAAUGAUUAAUAGGGAUAGUUGGGGGCAUUAGUAUUCAAUUGUCAGAGGUGAAAUUCUUGGAUUUAUUGAAGACUAACUACUGCGAAAGCAUUUGCCAAGGAUGUUUUCAUUAAUCAAGAACGAAAGUUAGGGGAUCGAAGACGAUCAGAUACCGUCGUAGUC